UACGUAGGGUGCAAGCGUUGUCCGGAAUUAUUGGGCGUAAAGAGCUCGUAGGCGGUCUGUCGCGUCGAAUGUGAAAACCCGAGGCUCAACCUCGGGCCUGCAGUCGAUACGGGCAAACUAGAGUACUGCAGGGGAGACUGGAAUUCCUGGUGUAGCGGUGAAAUGCGCAGAUAUCAGGAGGAACACCGGUGGCGAAGGCGGGUCUCUGGGCAGUAACUGACGCUGAGGAGCGAAAGCGUGGGGAGCGAACAGG
rnacentral:rRNA from 1 species